CAUUGGUGGAACCUUCCGACACCGCCCAGCUACGAUGACGUCAUCUUUGCCCUGGCUAGCGAUCCCUGAAUGGCUGGUGGUUAGAUGCCGGGCUAUUCCUACCCGAAUCUGGCAUUGCAUCGCAGGGCUGACCCGGGCACCGAGCAGCGCUGAUUCACCGACCCCGCCUCGGACCUGUUGCCGGAACCUGUCUCCGGAAAGCACUGGAAUCGUGAGGCUGUACACCCCGCCCUGAGUGCUGGCCAAUUACUCCCUCCUGCGAGUGGAUUUUAACAGCUCAGAAACUUCCCGUACCUGCAGACUGACGCUGAAUUCUGAGAUUUGUUUGACAUCUCUUUCAGUCUUUCCUUCCAAUUCUAGAGGAAAACAUUCAAAAAGAAUACUUCCUAUUCAAGAUGGCUAUAAAUGAUGUUUUUGUGUGUGUGGUACCAAUAUAAAUGUACGUAGAACAGAACUAAAAAUUUUAAGAGUUGUUCCUUAAGCUUGAGACCCAAGUUACGCUGUUAAUAUACUGACAGCUCCAUUUAAAAAAACUGAAAUAAAACUCUUGGUAAAUUGAGACUCCUGAAUAUAGAAAUUAGUAAAAGCAUGAACAUAUUUAACAAAGCUUUAAAAACGUUUAUUGUUGCCAAUAUGUGAAAACAAUAGCUUGUAAGGUAAUUUACCUACAUUAUUGCUAAUCCUCAACAUAACCCCAUUAGAUAGGUUAAUUAUCUACAUUUUGCACAUAAGGAAACUGAUGCCCAGAGAAGCUAAAUGACUUUCUUAGACAUCUAUUCAGCCAGAAAUGGAAACUGAACCUAGAUCUGUUUCACCCAAAGCCCAUACUAUAGGUGAUAGUUUUUCUAAAAAACAGGAAUUAAGAACCGGAUCUCCAUGAGUCACAAACACUGACAAACACGGGGGAAAGAAAGAAAAACAUGUAAUCAUGAUGCGGAGGGAGAAAUCAGUAAUUCAGAAACACCAACUAGGAAAUUAGUAUCAUGAAGAACUCCAAAUAGUGUCUGAUGCCACCUACUGGACAUCAAGCAAUAGGAAUACCAGACCACCUGACCUGCCUCUUGAGAAACCUGUAUGCAGGUCAGGA